ensembl:lincRNA
AAAGACCGUUCCUAUUCACGAGAAGUACCUUACCAGUACACUGGAGUCUCGUCUCCAACCUGCAAGCAGCUCCCGGUGUUUCCAUCCCCCUGUCCUCCAGGAGAGGGCGGCCGUGUCUGGACUGGUACAAGAUGUUCGUUUGGCUCGCGGCAGGCUUGGAGGAUGAAGGUGACCUGUGGGACACCAGUGGAGCUGCAGAGGAAGCGGUAGCUGAGCGGUCACGGGCUGUGUGCAACCUGGCCUGCGCACUUUGUUUGCAAUCAAGAGGGCAGUCAAAAAGUGAAGCUUUCCCUGAACUGCCUGUUCUUGCAAAGGCAUUUACAAAAGAGUGUCAGAGACUCUGCGAAACACUCACAACUCUAUCGACAAAGCUUGCAGGCCGCAAAGAGUGGACACGUGUCCUUGCUGAUCUGCGACGCGUACCGGGCGAGACCAGUGAGAACGAAUUGGAUGGUACCACGGAAAGCACAGAGGCAAUUCCGUCAUUGCAGGCUGCACGCCAGGCCCUGUCGGCUCUGCUGCCCGCCUUACGCCGGGCACGAACCUUGCAAGACCAGGUCAGUCCCGAACCAAAACAGUCAUAAUAACAAUAAUGCUAUCACAACUAUCAUUGCUCUCACAUGAUCAUCAUUAUCCUUGCUGCAAGUGACUAAUACAUUGGUUAGCGAUCAUAAGACAAUGACAGCCUUGGAAGGUCACUCCGUACCCACAGAGUGUUUCGGGAGUUGAAGAACGGAAAAGUGUACUGGGAGAAUUGUACAAACAGCUGAUAAAUGGUCACAAUAGUCUGAGACAUCUGAAAAAGUAUAACAAGGCAUACCUAUAAUUUAUUUAUUUCCUUUAUAAUUGUACCUAAUCAUAAAGGAAAGCAUUGGUAGGUUCGGAAUAUUGCGAGUCAAACUUUUUGAGCAACCCACGCAGGUAUAAAUAAAGGUUGAUACAACAAUAAUAAUUCUCCAUUUUACCAACUUUGAGAAGUUUAUUCAACUAAUAAGUGACGCAUUUGUCAAGCUUCUUUGCGGUAACUAAACAUUAGUACAAUUGUCCAUUGUUUAUAGAGAAACGUGACAGCUUGUUGGCUUCUGGGAAGGCUUUGUGGUGUUGACUUUGCACUUAAUGUCCCAAAGUUUUCCACUUGGUAAGCAAUCUCUCUUUAGUUAUAUCAUAUUCCGGCCCAUAUAUUCAAGUGAAAGGAAUACUUUGUGGAAAAUUAAUCUCAAAGUGCUGUCAGCAGGUUGUGAAAUUGGCCAAAAAGUACCAGUCAGUCAAUCACCGGGUCACCUUGGGCACCUGGUCGUAAACAAUGGCAGCUGUGCAAUCCCCCAACGUUGUUUUAACGGAGCUGAUGCUUAGCAAGGCUUUCUCCCAUUGAAAACACUUUAACACAUGGCGAAGCUCGAGGCACUUCGGCCUGUCAUGGUGCAGCAUUGAAUGAAGCAUGACCCUGAAGAUACGGCAUCAUGGGUAAUGUUUGUUGGUGACUCAGCAGGUUGAUACUGUAUUUUCACUGUGAUAACAAUAAUUUCUUCAAAACGGCUGAUAAGUGAGAGCUGGACUUGCUUGGGAGUUCUUAGGAUACUGGAAAUAAAUUCCCGGUAUUGAGUUAAACAGACAACUGAGAGAAUGUUCCUGAACUAAGCCGCGAUCACCUUGACCCUACCAUCGACAGCUGGAGGGUCGCCUGCCAUGCCCCAGCUCUCCCCGGCCUGCGAGGAAAACUCAAGACUCCGUGGACUCGGCGACUGCUCUUCAUCACCACCGUGAACAGAAAGAUCAUCACAUCCGGCUUCAGGCCUCGUGAACUACCUUCAUACCACCGCAAGUUGUACUCCGGUGAUUUGAGGUGCUGCCCCAUUUUAUAAGAGUACGACGAUACUCUAUCCACCUGGAUUUUGAACAUUGCCUAGUGCACCGUCUGGGAUUCAAACAUGAAACACACACACACACACACACACACACACACACACACACACACACACACGCACACGCACACGCACACCUGCAACUGCUUUAUAAGGAUGAAGUCACUUCUUGUAUGUGAUUAUCAGGAAAGGAAAAAAGGUUCAAGAAGCAGUCGCUUCAGACACUGCGGUUAUAUAUUUUCUGGAAGCACCCUAAAAGCUUUUUGUUUAUUUUCUAAACAUAUGCAGCGAGAAUGUGUUUGUUUUCACCAAAAUAUGCAGAGACAAGGGUUCGUUAAUUCCUUACCAACAGUUCAUCUCGAGGCCACUGCGUGCGACGGAAAAAAAAAAAAAAAAAAAAAAAAAAAAGAGUCCACCAUGGAAGUGAAAUAAUUUCCCAGAACAACCUUUCACGUCUGAUAUGAUGAUAUCAAAACCAACGCAGUUAUUUUAAGGCUCACGAGGCCAAGGAACGGACACAACCAAAUGAACUGUGUAUUGUUAAUAUCUGGUAGCAUGUGCCCUUUGGCCUCACGGAGUGUUUUAACCCGUGAAGGCGUCCAAUUGAUGAUGUUUUGUAUUACAGCCUGAUGCAGAUUUUGCCAAAUGUUGAGUAGAUUUUUGUUGCAGCUCUUGCGUAUCACUUGACACAGGCCGGUUUUUCAGCGGCUCCCGAUCCAUGUUCCCAAACAUCUUUGAUGGCAUUCAUGUCAGGUGUACCAGCAAGGCAUUUUGCAGUAUGGAACACAUUUACUGCAGGGAGAUGCUGUCGUCGGGCAAGAACCACCCAUUCCUGGAAGAAACAAAGUGUGCCGCAGCUCAUUCCCCAGACAUAACGGAGUCUUGACAUGAACGCCAUCAAACACAUCCAGGAACAUGGAUGGACUGUCAUCUUGUGAUAACGAUGUAAGAUUGUGCAAUCAUUGCAUGACUCCCAUUUAUAUGCGUAAUUAUUUUCACAAAUAUAUAUUCAUUCAAAACACCAAGUGUCUUAUUCAUAUGCAAAGGUUGUCAUUGCAUGCGAGUGCGAUUUUUGUCCGGCAUCGGUGCUCAUUUGGCUGCAUGAAGUGGAAUUUUAUAUGUUUGGGAGUUCGGCUCAUGAAGGAUUUCAAUUGUUUCGUUCCAAUGACGACCUUCAUUGAUUGGCCAUGAUCAAUUUGAGGUGCCUGCCUGGUGGCUGCCCAAAGUAGGGCCUACGAUCAGGUUGCUGUGCAUAAUGUUUCGUUCAGCUGUGCAUUUGGUGAGUCCUUGGCGGAACUUUGUUGCUGUGCUUUGUUGAGAACCGAAUACCUUCAAGCAUUGAAUUUGCAAAGAGUAUAAUAUGAUUACUCUCUGAAUAUCAUUUGCUGUGUGCGUGCUGCAAUAAAGUACGAGAUGGAUAUGGUGUACUCAUGUCUUUUCUUUCUUCUCACCACAAGUUGCCUUGAGGGGACGAUGGCGGAGCUUCUCUUUCAACUGCUACAGUAUGGCUGACUAUAGCCGAGAGGUACGCAUACUCACCUCGAAGCUGUCUCGCCUGGAAAUCCCGAC